GUGGGGAAUAUUGGACAAUGGGCGCAAGCCUGAUCCAGCCAUACCGCGUGGGUGAAGAAGGCCUUCGGGUUGUAAAGCCCUUUUGUUGGGAAAGAAAUCCUGUCGAUUAAUACUCGGUGGGGAUGACGGUACCCAAAGAAUAAGCACCGGCUAACUACGUGCCAGCAGCCGCGGUAAUACGUAGGGUGCAAGCGUUAAUCGGAAUUACUGGGCGUAAAGCGUGCGCAGGCGGUUUUGUAAGACAGGCGUGAAAUCCCCGGGCUCAACCUGGGAAUUGCGCUUGUGACUGCGAGGCUGGAGUGCGGCAGAGGAUGGCGGAAUUCCCGGUGUAGCGGUGAAAUGCGUAGAGAUCGGGAGGAACAUCCGUGGCGAAGGCGGCCAUCUGGACCAGCACUGACACUGAGGCACGAAAGCGUGGGGAGCAAACAGGAUUAGAUACCCGUGUAGUCC
rnacentral:rRNA from 1 species